rnacentral:tRNA from 1 species
GCCCAGGUGGUGAAAUUGGUAUACACGCAUCCUUGAGGUGGAUGUGGCUUCGGCUGUGGAGGUUCAAGUCCUCUCCUGGGCA